CUGCUGCCUCCCGUAGGAGUUUGGGCCGUGUCUCAGUCCCAAUGUGGUCGUUCACCCUCUCAGGCCGGCUACUGAUCGUUGCCUUGGUAGGCCAUUACCCCACCAACUAGCUAAUCAGACGCGGAACCAUCGUAUACCACCAGAGUUUUUCACACCGCUUCAUGCGAAGCUGUGCGCUUAUGCGGUAUUAGCACCUAUUUCUAAGUGUUAUCCCCCAGUAUACGGCAGGUUUUCCACGCGUUACUCACCCGUCCG
rnacentral:rRNA from 1 species